AGAGCGAACGCUGGCGGCAGGCCUAACACAUGCAAGUCGAACGAACUCUUCGGAGUUAGUGGCGGACGGGUGAGUAACACGUGGGAACGUGCCUUUUGGUUCGGAAUAACUCAGGGAAACUUGUGCUAAUACCGAAUGUGCCCUUCGGGGGAAAGAUUUAUCGCCAUUAGAGCGGCCCGCGUCUGAUUAGCUAGUUGGUGAGGUAAAGGCUCACCAAGGCUACGAUCAGUAGCUGGUCUGAGAGGAUGACCAGCCACAUUGGGACUGAGACACGGCCCAAACUCCUACGGGAGGCAGCAGUGGGGAAUCUUGCGCAAUGGGCGAAAGCCUGACGCAGCCAUGCCGCGUGUAUGGUGAAGGUCUUAGGAUUGUAAAAUACUUUCACCGGUGAAGAUAAUGACUGUAGCCGGAGAAGAAGCCCGGCUAACUUCGUGCCAGCAGCCGC
rnacentral:rRNA from 1 species